ensembl:lncRNA
AUUCAUUCAUCACGCAUAUGCUGGACACUUCACAGUUGGUCAGGUGCUAUUCUAAGUACUUGAGACAAACCAGUAAUCAGUGUCACUAUUAUCAUGCAGUCUAUGAACCUGGCCAGGCAGGUGGGGACAGGGAUAGGGAAUGAACAGAUACAGUGACAGUGAUAAAGGCUGUGGGAAAGCCUGCCUGUUACUGACACUCCUCAGCCUGCGCCUCUGCAUACUCACUGACACCUCACUGAUGCACUUUUGGUGAAAAAAAUGUGGACUUUCACACUUCCCUCACUACCAGUGAGGCUGGACGUGCUCUUUAUUCCCAUAAGUUCAUAUUUUCAGGUUGGCACCUGAGCCGGUUAAUCUUCACUGUCACCUGGACUUGGUGAAGAGCAAGAGGAACUAUGGAUCAGGAGCCACAAAACCUGCCGGGAUUUACAAAAGGCAGAAUUGUCAAGUGUUCUGCGGUGACACAGGCUGAGUCCCCCCGCCCCCAUCCUACAUCCCAACGACAGCCUGCGGGCCCCUCCGCGGACACCAGAGGCCUCCAGCCCGCAGGGGUGAGGCAG